AGUUUGAUCCUGGCUCAGGAUAAACGCUGGCGGCGUGCCUUACGCAUGCAAGUCGUACGGUCCCAAUGGUUUCGGCUGUUGGGAUAGUGGCGGACGGGUGAGUAACACGUAGGCAACCUGCCCGAAAGUGGGGGAUAACUCCGCGAAAGCGGGGCUAAUACCGCAUGUGGUCGACUCCGGCCUGCCGGGGUCGAUUAAAGUCCUCGGGCGCUUUCGGAGGGGCCUGCGGCCGAUUAGCUAGUUGGUGGGGUAACGGCCUACCAAGGUUACGAUCGGUAGCUGGUCUGAGAGGAUGGUCAGCCACACGGGGACUGAGACACGGCCUCGACUCCUACGGGAGGCAGCAGCGAGGAAUCUUGCGCAAUGGGCGAAAGCCUGACGCAGCAACGCCGCGUGGGCGAUGAAGGCCCUCGGGUCGUAAAGCCCUUUUGCGGGGGAAGAAGAUCUGACGGUACCCCGCGAACAAGCCACGGCUAACUACGUGCCAGCAGCCGCGGUAAUACGUAGGUGGCAAGCGUUGUCCGGAUUUAUUGGGCGUAAAGAGCGCGUAGGCGGUCCGUCAAGUCCGAGGUGAAAUCUCCCGGCCCAACUGGGAGGGGCCCUUGGAUACUGGCAGACUAGAGGGG
rnacentral:rRNA from 1 species